CUUCGGGAGGGCGCUUACCACUUUGUGAUUCAUGACUGGGGUGAAGUCGUAACAAGGUAACCGUAGGGGAACCUGCGGUUGGAUCACCUCCUUACCUUAAAGAA
rnacentral:rRNA from 3 species